UACGUAGGGUCCGAGCGUUGUCCGGAAUUAUUGGGCGUAAAGAGCUCGUAGGCGGUCUGUCACGUCGGCUGUGAAAACACGGGGCUCAACUCCGUGCCUGCAGUCGAUACGGGCAGACUAGAGUUCGGUAGGGGAGACUGGAAUUCCUGGUGUAGCGGUGAAAUGCGCAGAUAUCAGGAGGAACACCGGUGGCGAAGGCGGGUCUCUGGGCCGAUACUGACGCUGAGGAGCGAAAGCGUGGGGAGCAAACAGG
rnacentral:rRNA from 1 species